AGGCACGCGAUUUAGUAGGGCAUUGAAAUCUGUAGCUUAUAGACUUAAAGUUUUCAGCAAUGUAACUAGUCAGCAGGCGAGAAGUGGUGCCGCGGCCGCCGCCGUUCCGGAGUGUGGAACAACUUCCUGUAGUUGGAUAAAAAGCAAAGAAAUUAAGAGAAGGUACCUACGUUAGAUUGAAGGGAAAAUUAAAAAGGAGUGAAGGGCUUGAAUUGAGGUUGCAUAGUGGUUACAGACUUUUUAUAUCAAUAUGCCAUCAGAAGCCAGAGUUGAGGGUGAUAGCAACAGUAAAAAUAAAAUAAAACAUCUAGAGAU